GACUGCUGCUGAGAUCGCUAUGCAGAAGUUGCUCUAUAAAAAGCUUGCAGCAAACAUUAUUUUCUGGUGGUAUGAUGAAAUAAAUCCAGGGGACAUUUGCAGGAGAGUUUUCAGAAAUUCCUUCAGGCAAUGACUGUGGAAGAGAGGCUGCAAUCUGCCUUCAUGGGAAGCUUAUACAGAUGUAAGGCAUCACAGUGGUGACAUUCUCACUGAAGUCUUCUCAGAUGACAUAAUUCAUAGAUUAAUCUCCAGUGAAAGCUCCUGAAGAAUUGAUGCAUCCUAGUUCCCAGUGAUGUGAGUCUGGGGAGUCACACUGGAUCACCUGCAUACAUAUAGGUUUAAAAAGAAGCCUGAUGUCAGCCUGACAGCCUCUGUUACCCCAGCCAUCCUGCCCCUACUUUGUGAUGAACUAAAAGGAGCUCACAUUCUUUAAGUUUUCUGGAACUCUCCCUUGUCCAUGGGUUACUGAAAAAUCAACAUCAGCUGCCAAAAAAGCUCCUCAGCCAGCUGCUUCAAAAUUCCUCAAUGCAAAUUACCCAGAACUUCUGAUUUAAGUAUGUCUAACUACAGUAGCUGUUGAUUA